rnacentral:rRNA from 1 species
CAAUAGCGUAUAUUAAAGCUGUUGCGGUUAAAAAGCUCGUAGUUGGAUUUCUGUCAAGGACAACUGGUCCGCCCCUCGGGUGAGCACAUAGUUUGGUCUAGGCAUCUUGUUGGAAACUGUUGCUGCACUUGGUUGUGUGGCGCAGUGUCCAGCACUUUCACUUUGAGGAAAUUGGAGUGUUUCAAGCAGGCACAUGCCUUUGGACACAGUAGCAUGGAAUAAUUAGAUUGGGCUUUUGCUCCAACUUGUCGGUUUCUGGAGCUGAGGUGAGAAUUAAUGGGGAUUGUUGGGGGCAUCCGAAUUUAGCCGUCAGAGGUGAAAUUCUUGGAUCUGCUAAAGACGGACAACUGCGAAAGCGUUUGCCCAGGAUGUUUUCAUUGA